GGAUAUCAUGUCCAUCUACAAGGAACCACCCCCAGGAAUGUUUGUUGUGCCUGAUCCCCACGACAUGACCAAGAUUCAUGCAUUGAUCACAGGCCCAUUUGACACGCCUUAUGAAGGGGGUUUCUUCUUGUUCCUGUUUCGCUGUCCUCCAGAUUAUCCCAUCCACCCACCCCGGGUCAAACUGAUGACAACGGGAAAUAACACAGUGAGGUUUAACCCCAACUUCUACCGCAAUGGGAAAGUCUGCCUGAGUAUUCUGGGCACCUGGACCGGGCCUGCCUGGAGCCCAGCUCAGAGUAUCUCCUCAGUCCUCAUCUCCAUCCAGUCCCUGAUGACUGAGAACCCUUAUCACAACGAGCCCGGCUUCGAGCAGGAGAGGCACCCUGGGGACAGCAAGAACUACAACGAGUGCAUUCGGCACGAGACCAUCAGGGUGGCAGUGUGUGACAUGCUGGAAGGGAAGUGUCCCUGUCCCGAGCCUUUAAGGGGUGUCAUGGAGAAAUCCUUCAUGGAAUACUACGACUUCUACGAAGGGGUGUGUAAAGAGAGGCUGUACCUCCAAGGACAAACGAUGCAGGAUCCUUUCGGUGAAAAGCGAGGCCACUUUGACUACCAGUCCCUGCUGGUGCGUUUGCAGGGGAUCCGGCAGAAGGUGCAGGAGAAGCACCAGCAGGAGCCCCCGGAGCUGGACUCUGAGAGCAGCUCCUCCGAGACAGAGCCGGAGCCGCAGGGCUGCUCCAAAGCUUAGAGCGGGGGCUGCUCUGCCCACAGCCCUGACAGACUCCAGCACCCACCCACUGCCAGAGCAGGGAGCACGGGGGGACCCUCCUGCCUCCCUCACUGCUCUGGUGGGAAACGCUGACUGAGGAGACUCCAGACAAAGCCCAGCUCGUGCCAGGCUCUCCCGAAGUUUGUUUUGGCAGAAUGGAGCCUGUGGUGAUUCCUUAGAGGAACAACAACCAACCAACCAACAACUCCUUCCCAGAGCAGAGAGCCAUACAAGAGCUUCCCCACUUCUUUAGCCAGAAUCCCAUUUGCAUCCUUUAAGACUCCAGAUAAUUUUCCUCUUGCUGUGACAUUUAGUUUCCAGUAGCAAGUGGCAUUUCCACCCCCAGCCAGGGAGCAAAUCCAGAGGUGAUAUGCAAAGAACCUCCCGAGGAUUCUAGACAGGCACAGAACAGGGAGCAGUCAAGGAAUUGCCUCCUUGGCUUCCUCUGGAGUGAUUUCCUGAGAGUACAGCUCUGUAAAGAGA